CGUGAUGGGGGAGCUGCGGGCGUCGAGCUCCGGGUCUGUCGUGCUGCCCGCGGGGAUGAUUAAUCCGUCCGUUCCCAUCCGCAACAUCCGCAUGAAAUUCGCCGUCUUGAUCGGACUCAUUCAGGUCGGAGAGGUCAGCAACCGGGACAUCGUGGAGACCGUGCUAAACCUGCUGGUUGGUGGUGAAUUCGAUCUAGAGAUGAACUUUAUAAUCCAGGAUGCAGAAAGUAUAACAUGCAUGUCAGAACUUUUAGAGCACUGUGAUGUUACAUGCCAAGCAGAAAUUUGGAGCAUGUUUACCGCCAUCCUGCGUAAAAGUGUCCGCAAUUUACAGACCAGCACAGAAGUUGGUUUAAUUGAACAAGUGCUACUGAAGAUGAGUACUGUGGAUGAUAUGAUUGCAGAUCUUCUCGUUGAUAUGUUGGGAGUUCUUGCCAGCUACAGUAUUACUGUCAAGGAGUUGAAGCUUUUGUUCAGCAUGCUACGUGGUGAAAAUGGAAUUUGGCCUAAACAUGCAGUCAAGCUGUUGUCAGUCCUUAACCAGAUGCCACAGAGACAUGGUCCUGAUACUUUUUUCAACUUCCCAGGCUGCAGUGCUGCAGCAAUUGCAUUGCCUCCUAUUGCCAAGUGGCCUUAUCAAAAUGGGUUUACUCUUAAUACCUGGUUUCGCAUGGAUCCAUUGAAUAAUAUUAAUGUAGAUAAGGAUAAACCGUAUCUCUAUUGUUUUCGCACUAGCAAAGGUGUUGGUUACUCUGCUCAUUUUGUUGGCAACUGCUUAAUAGUCACAUCACUGAAGUCAAAGGGCAAAGGUUUUCAGCACUGUGUGAAAUAUGAUUUUCAACCACGCAAGUGGUACAUGAUUAGCAUUGUACACAUCUAUAAUCGCUGGAGAAACAGUGAAAUUCGUUGUUAUGUAAAUGGUCAGUUAGUAUCCUAUGGCGAUAUGGCUUGGCAUGUGAACACAAAUGAUAGUUACGAUAAAUGUUUUCUGGGAUCAUCUGAAACUGCUGAUGCAAACAGGGUGUUUUGUGGGCAGCUUGGGGCAGUCUAUGUAUUCACUGAAGCUCUCAACCCAGCACAGAUAUUUGCAAUACAUCAGCUAGGACCUGGAUAUAAGAGUACUUUUAAAUUUAAAUCUGAGAGUGAUAUUCAUCUGGCUGAACACCAUAAACAGGUUCUGUAUGAUGGGAAACUUGCAAGUAGCAUUGCCUUCACUUACAAUGCUAAGGCUACAGAUGCUCAGUUAUGCCUUGAAUCCUCACCAAAGGAAAACCCUUCAAUUUUUGUACACUCCCCGCAUGCUCUCAUGCUCCAGGAUGUCAAAGCAAUUGUGACUCAUUCGAUUCACAGCGCAAUUCAUUCAAUAGGAGGAAUACAAGUCCUUUUCCCUCUCUUUGCUCAGUUGGACAAUAGGCAACUGCAUGACAGUCAAGUGGAAACAACUGUCUGUGCUACUCUCUUGGCUUUCCUGGUGGACCUUCUUAAGAGUUCAGUAGCCAUGCAAGAACAAAUGCUGGGUGGAAAAGGAUUCCUAGUUAUUGGCUACCUCCUUGAAAAGUCAUCCAGAGUUCAUAUAACAAGAGCUGUGUUGGAACAGUUUUUGUCUUUUGCAAAAUAUUUGGAUGGGCUGUCACACGGAGCACCUUUACUAAAGCAAUUAUGUGAUCAUAUCCUUUUCAACCCUGCUAUCUGGAUACAUACUCCUGCAAAGGUGCAGCUGUCACUCUAUACCUACUUGUCUGCUGAAUUCAUUGGCACUGCCACAAUCUAUACGACAAUACGUAGAGUCGGAACAGUAUUACAGCUAAUGCACACAUUGAAAUACUACUACUGGGUGGUUAAUCCAGCAGAUAGCAGUGGCAUCACUCCUAAGGGUUUGGAAGGCCCUCGGCCAUCACAGAAGGAAAUAAUAUCACUACGUGCAUUCAUGCUUCUAUUUUUAAAACAGCUAAUUUUGAAGGAUCGAGGAGUCAAAGAAGAUGAACUACAAAGUAUAUUAAAUUACUUGCUAACAAUGCAUGAGGAUGAAAACAUUCAUGAUGUACUUCAGUUAUUAGUGGCUUUAAUGUCUGAACAUCCAGCAUCUAUGAUACCUGCCUUUGAUCAACGGAAUGGGAUACGGGUGAUUUAUAAAUUAUUGGCUUCAAAAAGUGAGAGCAUCUGGGUGCAGGCUCUGAAGGUGCUGGGAUAUUUUUUGAAACAUCUUGGCCAUAAACGAAAAGUUGAAAUUAUGCAUACACACAGUCUGUUCACUCUUCUUGGAGAAAGGUUGAUGUUGCAUACAAAUACUGUGACCAUUACAACUUACAACACACUUUAUGAGAUUUUGACGGAACAAGUGUGUACCCAAGUUGUUCAUAAACCACAUCCAGAACCAGAUUCCACAGUGAAAAUUCAAAACCCCAUGAUUCUUAAGGUGGUGGCAACUUUAUUAAAGAAUUCUACACCGAGUGCAGAACUGAUGGAAGUUCGACGUCUGUUUUUAUCUGAUAUGAUAAAACUUUUUAGUAAUAGCCGUGAAAACAGGAGAUGUUUACUUCAGUGUUCAGUGUGGCAGGACUGGAUGUUUUCACUGGGAUAUAUCAAUCCUAAAAACUCUGAAGAACAGAAAAUUACUGAGAUGGUGUACAACAUCUUUCGUAUUCUUUUAUACCAUGCAAUAAAGUAUGAAUGGGGAGGAUGGAGGGUCUGGGUUGAUACUCUUUCCAUAGCCCAUUCAAAGGUCACCUAUGAAGCUCACAAGGAGUACCUAGCGAAAAUGUAUGAGGAGUAUCAAAGGCAAGAAGAAGAGAAUAUAAAGAAGGGGAAAAAGGGGAAUGUGAGCACUAUUUCAGGCCUUUCCGCUCAGACGACUGGAGCAAAAGGUGCAAUGGAGAUUCGUGAAAUAGAAGAUCUUUCACAAAGCCAAAGCCCAGAAAGUGAAACUGAUUACCCUGUCAGUACGGAUACCAGAGAUUUACUCAUUGCAACAAAGGUAUCGGAUGAUGUGCUUGGAAGCUCAGAUAGACCUGGGGGUGGUAUGCAUGUAGAAGUUCAUGAUCUCUUAGUUGAUAUAAAAGCAGAAAAAGUAGAAGCCACAGAAGUCAAGCUGGAUGAUAUGGAUCUAUCGCCAGAAACUUUGGUAACCAGAGAGAAUGGUGCUCUUGUAGAAGUAGAAUCUUUACUAGACAAUGUAUAUAGUGCUGCAGUUGAAAAACUUCAGAACAAUGUUCAUGGAAGUGUUGGAAUAAUUAAGAAAAGUGAAGAGAAGGACAAUGGUCCCUUGAUAACACUGGCUGAUGAGAAGGAUGAACCUUCUAACAAUACCUCAUUUCUUUUUGAUAAAAUACCCAGCCAGGAUGAGAAACUGCUCCCUGAACUGUCCAGCAAUCAUAUUACUAUUGCAAAUAUGCAAGAAACCCAAAUGCACCUUGGUGUGAAUGAUGACCUUGGUCUCCUUGCUCACAUGACUGGUAGUACUGACAUAGCAUGCAGUUCAAGCAUAAUAGAAGAUAAAGAAUUCAAGAUUCAUACCUCUGUGGAUGCAAUGGGCACUCUUUCUGAGAGAGAACUUGCUUCAUCAUCCAAAGGAUUAGAAUAUGCUGAAAUGGCUGCCACAACCCUUGAGACUGAGUCUUCUGGCGGCAAAACUGUACCAAAUGUAGAUGCAGGGAGUAUCAUAUCAGAUACAGAAAGAUCCGAUGAUGGGAAGGAAGUAGGAAAAGAAAUAAGAAAAAUCCAGACUACCACUACAACUCAAGCUGUGCAAGGUCGGUCCAUUACACAGCAGGACAGAGACUUGCGUGUUGACUUGGGAUUUCGAGGAAUGCCAAUGACAGAAGAACAGAGGCGGCAGUUUAGUCCAGGUCCACGAACAACAAUGUUUCGAAUCCCAGAGUUUAAGUGGUCUCCAAUGCACCAGAGGUUGCUGACUGAUCUUCUCUUUGCUUUAGAAACUGAUGUACAUGUCUGGAGAAGCCAUUCCACAAAGUCUGUUAUGGACUUUGUCAAUAGCAAUGAAAAUAUCAUCUUUGUACAUAAUACUAUCCACCUCAUUUCCCAAAUGGUUGACAAUAUUAUCAUUGCUUGUGGAGGAAUUCUACCAUUGUUGUCUGCAGCAACAUCCCCAACUGGUUCUAAGACUGAACUGGAGAAUAUUGAAGUAACUCAGGGUAUGUCAGCAGAGACAGCAGUGACUUUCCUCAGUCGUCUGAUGGCUAUGGUUGAUGUACUAGUAUUUGCCAGUUCACUAAAUUUUAGUGAAAUUGAAGCUGAAAAAAACAUGUCCUCUGGAGGGUUAAUGCGACAGUGCCUAAGACUUGUGUGUUGUGUUGCUGUGAGAAACUGUUUGGAAUGUCGACAAAGGCAGAGAGAGAGGGUCAACAAAUCUUCAUUAAUCAGCAGUAAAACUCAGGAGACUCUUCAGGGUAUAAGUGCAACUACAACUGCUAAGACUCCACUGGAAAACGUGCCUGGUAAUCUAUCUCCUAUUAAAGAUCCUGAUAGACUUCUUCAAGAUGUUGACAUAAAUCGUCUGAGAGCAGUUGUAUUCCGUGAUGUGGAUGAUAGCAAGCAGGCACAGUUUUUAGCUUUGGCUGUGGUUUACUUCAUUUCUGUAUUAAUGGUUUCCAAGUAUCGGGAUAUACUUGAACCACAACGAGAAACUGCAAGGUCUGGAAGCCAGGCAGGUAGAAAUAUCAGGCAAGAAAUAAAUUCACCAACAAGUACAGUUGUGGUCAUACCAUCUAUCCCACACCCAAGUUUGAACCAUGGAUUCCUUGCCAAGUUAAUCCCUGAGCAGAGCUUUACCCACUCAUUUUACAAAGAAACCCCUGCUGCAUUUCCUGAUAGUAUCAAAGAAAAAGAAACUCCAACACCAGUUGAAGAUAUUCAGUUGGAAAGCUCCAUUCCUCAUACUGAUUCUGGAAUUGGAGAAGAACAAAUCCCCAGUAUCUUGAAUGGGACAGAUUUAGAAACAAGCACAGGUCCUGAUGCAAUGAGUGAACUGUUAUCUACUUUGUCAUCUGAGGUGAAGAAGUCUCAGGAAAGUUUAACAGAAAGUCCCAGUGAAGUUCUUAAACCUGCAUCCUCAAUAUCAAGCAUCAGCCAAAGCAAGGGCAUCAAUGUCAAGGAAAUAUUGAAAAGUUUGGUGGCAGCCCCUGUUGAAAUUGCAGAAUGUGGACCUGAUCCUAUUCCAUAUCCUGAUCCUGCACUGAAGAGAGAAGCUCAGCCUAUACUUCCAAUGCAGUUUCACUCCUUUGACAGGAGUGUUGUAGUGCCGGUGAAGAAACCACCUCCUGGAAGCUUAGCAGUGACCACAGUUGGAACUGCCGCAGCUGGAGGUGGGCUCCCACCAAGUAGUACGCCUAAUAUAUUUGCUGCCACAGGAGCUACACCAAAAAGUAUGAUUAAUACAACAGGUGCAGUGGACUCUGGAUCUUCUUCAUCGUCAUCCUCAUCCAGUUUUGUGAAUGGUGCUACCAGUAAGAAUCUCCCUGCUGUUCAAACUGUUGCACCAAUGCCAGAGGAUUCUGCAGAAAACAUGAGCAUCACGGCAAAGCUUGAGAGAGCUUUGGAAAAAGUGGCCCCACUCCUUCGGGAAAUAUUUGUGGAUUUUGCUCCUUUCCUGUCUCGCACGCUGUUGGGCAGUCAUGGACAAGAACUUCUAAUAGAAGGCCUAGUUUGUAUGAAGUCCAGCACCUCAGUGGUUGAACUUGUAAUGCUUCUUUGCUCACAGGAAUGGCAAAAUUCUAUUCAAAAGAAUGCUGGACUUGCUUUUAUUGAACUCAUCAAUGAAGGAAGAUUAUUGUGUCAUGCAAUGAAAGACCACAUUGUACGUGUUGCAAAUGAGGCAGAAUUUAUUUUGAACAGGCAAAGAGCUGAAGAUGUACACAAACAUGCAGAAUUUGAGUCACAGUGUGCCCAAUAUGCUGCUGACAGAAGAGAAGAGGAGAAGAUGUGCGAUCACCUGAUCAGUGCAGCCAAGCAUCGAGAUCAUGUUACAGCAAAUCAGCUGAAACAGAAAAUACUGAAUAUCUUAACAAAUAAGCAUGGUGCUUGGGGAGCUGUGUCACAUAGCCAACUCCAUGACUUCUGGCGCUUAGAUUAUUGGGAAGAUGAUCUGCGCCGGCGGAGACGGUUUGUUCGCAAUGCAUUUGGCUCCACCCAUUCUGACGCUUUGCUCAAAGCUGCUGUGGAAUACGGCACUGAAGAAGAUGUAGUAAAGUCAAAGAAAACCUUCCGAAGUCAAGCUGUAGUCAAUCAGAAUGCUGAGACAGAGCUUAUGCUAGAAGGAGAUGAUGAUGCUGUCAGCCUGCUCCAGGAGAAGGAGAUUGACAAUCUUGCAGGCCCGGUGGUCCUGAGCACGCCAGCCCAGCUCAUCGCCCCAGUGGUGGUGGCCAAGGGAACACUCUCCAUCACUACCACUGAGAUCUACUUCGAGGUGGACGAGGAUGAUCCAGCCUUCAAGAAGAUCGACCCUAAAGUUCUUGCUUAUACAGAAGGUCUUCAUGGAAAAUGGAUGUUCAGUGAAAUUCGAGCUGUUUUUUCAAGACGUUACCUUCUUCAGAAUACAGCCUUGGAGGUGUUUAUGGCAAACAGAACCUCUGUAAUGUUUAAUUUUCCUGACCAAGCAACAGUGAAAAAAGUGGUGUACAGCUUACCUCGUGUUGGAGUGGGAACCAGCUAUGGCUUGCCACAAGCAAGACGAAUUUCUCUGGCCACUCCCCGCCAACUGUAUAAAUCUUCCAACAUGACUCAGCGGUGGCAGCGAAGGGAGAUUUCAAACUUUGAAUACUUGAUGUUUCUGAAUACUAUAGCAGGGCGGACAUAUAAUGAUCUAAACCAAUAUCCUGUUUUUCCAUGGGUGUUAACAAACUAUGAAUCAGAGGAAUUGGAUCUAACCUUGCCAGGAAACUUCAGAGAUCUUUCAAAGCCCAUUGGCGCUUUGAAUCCAAAGAGAGCAGUCUUUUAUGCAGAGCGCUAUGAGACAUGGGAAGAUGAUCAGACUCCGCCUUAUCAUUACAAUACUCAUUAUUCAACUUCUGCUUGUACAUUAACGUGGCUUGUUCGCAUUGAACCUUUCACUACAUUUUUCCUCAAUGCAAAUGAUGGAAAAUUUGAUCAUCCAGAUCGAACCUUCUCUUCGGUGGCAAGAUCUUGGAGAAAUAGCCAAAGAGACACUUCAGAUGUAAAGGAAUUAAUUCCAGAAUUUUACUACCUACCAGAAAUGUUUGUCAACAGUAAUGGAUAUAACCUUGGAGUCAGAGAAGACGAAAACGUUGUGAAUGAUGUGGAGCUUCCCCCUUGGGCAAAGAAGCCUGAAGACUUUGUGCGUAUCAAUAGGAUGGCUCUAGAGAGUGAGUUUGUUUCCUGUCAGCUUCACCAGUGGAUUGAUCUCAUCUUUGGCUACAAGCAGCGUGGACCAGAAGCUGUGCGGGCGCUUAAUGUUUUCCACUACCUAACAUACGAAGGUUCUGUUAACCUUGACAGUAUCACUGAUCCUGUGCUCAGGGAGAUCCCAGAGGCUUAUUUUAUUAGAGAUCCUCAUACUUUCCUUCUUACAAAGGACUUUAUUAAGGCCAUGGAGGCACAGAUACAGAACUUUGGACAGACGCCAUCUCAGUUGCUUAUUGAGCCACAUCCGCCUCGGAGCUCUGCCAUGCACCUGUGUUUCCUUCCACAGAGUCCACUUAUGUUUAAAGAUCAGAUGCAGCAGGAUGUUAUAAUGGUUCUCAAAUUUCCAUCAAAUUCUCCUGUCACACAUGUGGCAGCCAACACACUUCCCCACCUUACCAUUCCUGCCGUGGUAACAGUGACUUGCAGCCGACUCUUUGCAGUGAAUAGAUGGCACAACACAGUAGGCCUCAGGGGAGCCCCAGGAUAUUCUUUGGAUCAAGCUCAUCAUCUUCCUAUUGAAAUGGAUCCAUUGAUCGCCAAUAACUCUGGUGUGAACAAACGGCAGAUCACAGACCUUGUGGAUCAAAGCAUUCAGAUCAAUGCUCAUUGUUUUGUGGUCACAGCAGAUAAUCGCUAUAUCCUUAUCUGUGGUUUCUGGGACAAGAGCUUUCGUGUUUAUUCCACAGAAACAGGUAAACUAACUCAGAUUGUAUUUGGCCAUUGGGAUGUAGUGACUUGCCUUGCCAGAUCAGAAUCAUACAUUGGUGGGGACUGCUACAUCGUCUCUGGCUCUCGUGAUGCUACAUUACUUCUAUGGUAUUGGAGUGGCCGGCAUCAUAUAAUUGGUGACAAUCCAAACAGCAGUGAUUAUCCUGCUCCCAGAGCUGUUCUCACUGGCCAUGAUCAUGAAGUUGUUUGUGUAUCAGUCUGCGCUGAGCUGGGACUUGUUAUAAGUGGUGCUAAAGAAGGACCUUGCCUGGUGCAUACAAUUACUGGAGAUUUGUUGCGGGCACUGGAAGGAACAGAAAACUGUUUGUACCCUCGCUUAAUUUCAGUGUCUAGUGAAGGCCACUGUAUCAUCUACUAUGAACGAGGCAGGUUCAGCAAUUUCAGCAUUAAUGGCAAACUCUUGGCUCAGAUGGAGAUCAACGACUCAACCAGGGCUAUCCUCCUGAGCAGUGAUGGACAGAACCUGGUUACAGGUGGCGAUAAUGGGGUGGUAGAAGUAUGGCAGGCUUGUGACUUCAAGCAGCUCUAUAUUUACCCUGGCUGUGAUGCUGGCAUUAGGGCAAUGGACCUGUCCCACGAUCAGAGAUGUCUUAUUCCUACAUUGAUAUUAUAUUAAUACCAAGAAAAGGUCAAUGCCCAAGAUCCAUUGCUUCCUUGCUUUGUCAGCAUUUGAAGAAGCCAACACAGAUGGAAAGAAACCCCAGAGCAGCAGCACCAUGGCAGUACAGAGGGAUGAAAAAAGGAUUUUGGUUGUGAAACCUAAUGGCAUGAGAGACGUUGACUACACUAUGUGUAGGACUGACAUACAAUCUUGGAUAAAAACAGAUCUGCAAGGUUUUUUCUUUCUUUCUUUUUUAAUGGAGCAAUCCUAUGGUCUCUGGAAGGGCAUGUUGUGAAUUUUACCUGAGGCUACAGACACAGCUACAAGCUGACCUGGGGUGAAGAGCUCUGAGCAUGUACUUUCUCCCAUCCCUAACAACCUACUACUGUGGAAGUUUCUAGAAGAGAAUAUAAAGCAGUCAGUCUGGAAGCAUUUUGAAAGCAAUGCAGUGAUUACCAAAAGCCAGCAUGGAUUCCUCAAGAAGAAAUCCUGCCAAACUGAUCUACCUUUUUUGAUCUUGUCUUGAAGACUGCAGUAAUGUUGUGGACAUACUAUAUUGACUUCAGCAAAGCUUUUGACAAAGUGCCCCAUGAUAUCCUGAUUAGCAAACUAGCUAAAAGUAGCCUGGAUAGAACAACUGAUCUACCUAGGUCAACUAGGUAGAUCUACAGUUGGCUACAGAAUUGGACUCAAAGAGCGCUCAUCAAUGGCACUCUCUCAAAAAGGGGAAAAGUAACAAGUGGGGUACUGCAGGGUACUGUCAUCCUGGACUCAAUGCUCUUCAACAAUUUUAUUAAUGGUUUGGAUGAGGAAGUGCAGGGAAUGGUUAUCAAAUUUGCAGAUGACAGAAAACUGGAUGGGAUAGCUAAUACAGUAAGAAGAUGGAAGAUGAUCUUGAUAGAUUUGAACACUGGGCUGAAAACAACAAAAUGAAAUUCAGUAGAGACAAAUGCAUUUAGAAGUUCUUCAUCUAGGAAAAAGAAGCUUAAAUGCAUUACAAGAUGCUUGCCUGCAGCUGCAUGCAAAGAUGGUUGAGGAAGAAGAAAAGGAGGUACAAUGAUCGGCAGUCAUGGAAGAGGAGACAUGUGGAUUUCCUGGAUCCAUAAGCCUGUCCCUCACCCAUUCUUGCCUACAUAAAUCUGCUGGAUGGAUUGAGAGAAAAAGCAAAUUUUGCAGUGCCUUUUCAAGACUUCCUGAGGUUCCCUUUGUCCUGCUUCUUCAGAAACAACUAGAUGAAAUGCAUUUCUACUCAGAAGUAAACCGAAUUAUCUUCAAUGCCUUUAUUCACAAUUGAAUCACAACUGAUUUCAGAGUCAAGAAGAUGCAGACCAGUUCUGAGAAGAGAAACAUCACACUGAAAGCAUUCCUGUUCAAGCAUUUCCAGGCUGACAGCCCUCACUCAGAAAGCAUUGUUUGAAAAGGAUCUAUUUACAUACCUCCUCCAUCUUUGAGUGUGCUAAGUAAUCUGAGCAAGGCUUUACACAAGCAAGCAUAAUCAGAUAGCGCCUGCUUUGCUUUUUGUUGGAUGGGCAUGGUGAACAGGUUGAGUUGUUUCCUUCAUUAUGUGAUGGGAGGUGAAUGCACUGAUGGAUAUACAGAAAGAAGCCCAAAUGUCAAGACUGCAUGUUGCUACAACUUAUGCUAGUUUGAGCAUUACUACAUUUUUUUGGCACUGAUUGUCUCGAUACACUUCAAUCUAGCCUUAAGACUUGCUUGGAGCUCUGAAAUUGUUUUGGUUGCCCUGUUGGAUGACCUGUGCAGGAAGGAAAGGAGGGACUUGUGACUCCAUUUAAUUCUUCUGGAUCCCUCACUGUGAUUUGGCACCAUCAGACAUGGCAUCUAGUCUGAGGUGGAAACAGGGGCCACCAUGCUCUUGCAGUUCUGCUUCUGCCUGGCAGGGCAUUCCUUGACGGCCAUGCUGGAGAUCUGAUUCUCUCCUCCAUACUAUUUCUGAUGCGGUGCAAUGCACGGCUCUGCGUUAUUCUUCAUGCCCUUCACAUGAAGUCUCUCUGUAAGGUCAUCUUAAGAUUUAGGGUGAAGCUGGAGGUUUAGGUGGAGCACUUAUACAUUGUGUAAAAGAGAAACUGCAUUUCUUGAAAAAGAGAACAGAAGCAGACAAAAAUGCAUAUAUAUUUGUACAUAAAUACAGGAUACCAAGUUGUCAUAAAAAGAGCAUAACCAUUCUCUUUGAUAUUGCUAGGAUUUAUGAAAGGAAAGCCUAAAGCUCUCACUGCGAAUGGUUCUUGGUUGUUUUUUCACUCCACCUCAGGCAUCACUGUUAGACUUUCCAAAGCUCACCAUGCAGACUAUACAAAAAAGCACAACCUUGAAAUGCUCUACAGUCCCACAAAGAGUGGUAAGGAAUAUUUUCUGAAAUGCUGCCAAACAUUAUGUUACCUGACAAUCAAUAGUUCUUGCCCUUUUUACUCUUGCUUUUCCCAAUGAACAUGCCCCCUCCCCAAAAAGGCCUGUCUAGCCAAUGCUUUGAUUCCUUAAGGAAUCAAAGGAGGAAUGUGAUAUCAUGUUGAGUAAAGAAAAUGCACAAGAAGACAAACCUCAUUCGGUAGUGAAACUGGAACUAAUGGCUCCCAGGCCAGUGCACCCAAUUUAAAGAAAGAUGUCAGCAGAGUGUGCUGUGGAAUAUGGUUUUGUUUAAACUUGUAACAUACCAUGAAAUGCAGUGCCCUGGAUGCAUUCCCGUGAGAUUUAUUUAACCACUUAUUUAGAUGUCUUGGGCAUAAUUAAAUAUGAUGUUAGUAAAUCUUAUGGGGUCAAGUUCAGCUUAAAUGUGGUCUCCUUUGCAGUAUUUUGAAAACUAAUAGCUAACUAAGCUACAAAAAGAGAAAAUAAAAUGAGAGGUGGGAAAAAGAAAGCCAAAGCAAUGCCUUUGCCAAAUAGAAGGAGAGAAUAUGUCAUAAUAGUAAGACGAAGACCAAGAAAAAUGAGGCUUUGGGGCAGGAAAAAUAAUAUCAAAUAUUAAAGCAUAUUAAGUCUUAAUAUUCACUCCUUAUGACCUAUUGUUGUUAACCUUAGAUUAUAACAAGCUUUUAAAGAUAGACAUCUUUAGAUGGCUGAAGUCUCCAAGGACAAACGUUGUGUGUCAGGGAGGUGGUACCUCAGGUGCAUGCAUCAAAUACUUUUAUUCAAACCCUAAGAAGUGACAACGUGAAAAUGAGACUCUUCUCCAAGUACCACUGGUACAUGUGGAACCAGAGUGCCCCGUUCUGGAAGCCCCUUUCCAUAAAAACUGGUCUGGACAUUUUUCUCUCUUGGAGAAAAGAUUAAAAUCAAUUUCUUUGCCCAGGCAUUUAAUGCUAUUUGAUGAUAGCAGUGAGGUUCAUGCAUCUGUUGCCCUUGAUUCUCGCUUGACAUUUUAUUAUAUUGCAUUGGAGGUUUUUUAAUUUAUAAUUUUGUAAACCACUUUGGCAUCUUUAGGAGAAAGGCAGUAAUAAAAAAUUCAAAAUAAAUAAAUAAUGCCAAAAUGAUGAGUUUAGCAACACAAAUAAGAUGUCAGUGGUGAUAAUGAACUUUUAUCAUGAAUCUGAUAGAUUCUCCUGCAUGAUAUAUUCAACGAAUCAGCUACCUAACCAAGAAGCAUUGCUGAACAAUGGAAAUGACAGAGAAAUCCUAUUGUGGUGGGAUGGUUCCAUGGCAGAACAACCUGCGUAGAAUAUAAGGAUUCUAUUUGAAAGGCAGCUUGAGCAUCUUCCAAAUCAUCUGUUUGAAGAACUGUUCAGUCCAAGUGCACUAUAAAGAUAACAAACCAGCAUAAGUUAGAACUGAGUCUUGAAGUUUUCCAUCAGCAGUUGCCACUUGGAAAGCAGUCAGUGCAAGGCUAUCCAAUUUACCUGGUUUUACCUGGUCAAUUUACCUGGUCAGUCUUCUAUGCCACAGAGUGUAUUGAAUACAUACUAAUGAAUAUUUAUAAAUGUGCAUCUGUGCAAAGGCUAUUCAAACAGAAAUCCUCUUUUAAGCUCUUUUUAUAGAAAUGGGCCCUUUAUUUAGGCAGUUCACAAGCUGCCAACGUGCCACCUCCUUUCUCAAAGGUGGCCUGCCUGCAUGCACCAGCUGCUGAGGAGCUGGACAGUGGAGUCCUUGCACCUAUCCUGCUUGAGGGAUCCUGUGGACAGCUGGUCUGUCACUGAGUGUACAGAGUGCUGGAUUAGAUGGAACUUUGGUCUGAUCCAGCCUGGCUUUUCUUAUGUGGCUUUUCUUAAGUGGUGUUGGGGAAAUCCAAAUAAACCUUUAUAAAGAAAAGUUGCAUAUAGGUCCCUUUUCAAGCCUGCAGUGUCCCUGAUCCUCUUGCCCAGAAAGAACCAGAAUUCUCAGCCAGGCUGCUUUUUCCUUGAAGAUUGAUUAUUGAUCUGUCCCAAUAAAGAGACUGAGACUCUCCGCUGGGCUAAGGCAGUUGCUACAUUUAGCUGCAAAGUUAAACUUGUUACAUUGAUAUCUGCUGGGCUGCAGCAAGCAGCCCUGACUGGUUCUUUUGCAUGUCAGUACCUACACCCAAAACCUGUUAUGACUCAUGUACUUCUCUGUUUGCAUAUCAAUACUCUGUUAAUCACUGAUAUUUAUUGUACCAUUAUGUUAUGUCCCCUCUGCAGUUUCUUCAUAUUGUUUUGUUCAUGAAUACAUUAUCUGUUGGUAUAUACCUA